GACGAACGCUGGCGGCGUGCUUUACACAUGCAAGUCGAACAGAAAGGCCCUGCUUUUGUGGGGUGCUCGAGUGGCGAACGGGUGAGUAACACGUGAGUAACCUGCCCUUGACUUUGGGAUAACUUCAGGAAACUGGGGCUAAUACCGGAUAGGAGCUCCUGCUGCAUGGUGGGGGUUGGAAAGUUUCGGCGGUUGGGGAUGGACUCGCGGCUUAUCAGCUUGUUGGUGGGGUAGUGGCUUACCAAGGCUUUGACGGGUAGCCGGCCUGAGAGGGUGACCGGCCACAUUGGGACUGAGAUACGGCCCAGACUCCUACGGGAGGCAGCAGUGGGGAAUAUUGCACAAUGGGCGGAAGCCUGAUGCAGCAACGCCGCGUGCGGGAUGACGGCCUUCGGGUUGUAAACCGCUUUCGCCUGUGACGAAGCGUGAGUGACGGUAAUGGGUAAAGAAGCACCGGCUAACUACGUG
rnacentral:rRNA from 1 species